AACGAACGCUGGCGGCAUGCCUAACACAUGCAAGUCGAACGAGACCUUCGGGUCUAGUGGCGCACGGGUGCGUAACGCGUGGGAACCUGCCCUUAGGUUCGGAAUAACUCCCCGAAAGGGGUGCUAAUACCGGAUAAUGUCUUCGGACCAAAGAUUUAUCGCCUUUGGAUGGGCCCGCGUUGGAUUAGCUAGUUGGUAGGGUAAAAGCCUACCAAGGCGACGAUCCAUAGCUGGUCUGAGAGGAUGAUCAGCCACACUGGGACUGAGACACGGCCCAGACUCCUACGGGAGGCAGCAGUGGGGAAUAUUGGACAAUGGGGGAAAGCAUGAUCCAGCAAUGCCGCGUGAGUGAUGAAGGCCUUAGGGUUGUAAAGCUCUUUUACCCGGGAUGAUAAUGACAGUACCGGGAGAAUAAGCUCCGGCUAACUCCGUG
rnacentral:rRNA from 1 species